rnacentral:rRNA from 1 species
GAUGAACGCUGGCGGCGUGCUUAACACAUGCAAGUCGAACGGUGAAGCAGGAGCUUGCUCUUGUGGAUCAGUGGCGAACGGGUGAGUAACACGUGAGCAACCUGCCCCUGACUCUGGGAUAAGCGCUGGAAACGGCGUCUAAUACUGGAUAUGUGAUGUGACCGCAUGGUCUGCAUCUGGAAAGAAUUUCGGUUGGGGAUGGGCUCGCGGCCUAUCAGCUUGUUGGUGAGGUAAUGGAUCACCAAGGCGUGGACGGGUAGCCGGCCUGAGAGGGUGACCGGCCACACUGGGACUGAGACACGGCCCAGACUCCUACGGGAGGCAGCAGUGGGGAAUAUUGCACAAUGGGCGGAAGCCUGAUGCAGCAACGCCGCGUGAGGGGUGACGGCCUUCGGGUUGUAAACCUCUUUUAGCAGGGAAGAAGCGAAAGUGACGGUACCUGCAGAAAAAGCACCGGCUAACUACGUGCCAGCAGCCGCCGUAA